GCCUCGGUGGUGUAUUGGUAGAGCACGCGUCCUCGGAUAGGAUGAACGCUGAUUCGAUUUCAACCCUGAGGCC